rnacentral:miRNA from 2 species
UGUGCCAUCCCACACAUCCCGA